UAUAAACCAGCAUAGAUCAAUCUUAACUCCGGAUCUUUUAAGCACUCAGAGAUUUGCACUUGGGUUGUUUUUUAUCCAUCUCCGCCCUUAAUAGAUCUGGAGUUAAGAUGGAUCUACACUGGUGUGUA
rnacentral:pre_miRNA from 1 species